rnacentral:rRNA from 1 species
ACUCAAAUGAAUAGACGGGGGCUCACACAAGCGGUGGAGCAUGUGGUUCAAUUCGAAGCAACGCGCAGAACCUUACCUGGGCUUGACAUGCUAGGAUUAUCUCCAUGAAAGUGGAGUAGGCCCUUCGGGGUACAACUAGUACAGGUGCUGCAUGGCUGUCGUCAGCUCGUGUCGUGAGAUGUCGGGUUAAGUCCCUUAACGAGCGAAACCUUUGCCCUUAGUUACUACAGGUAAUGCUGAGGACUCUAAGGGGACUGCCGGUGUCAAACCGGAGGAAGGUGGAGAUGACGUCAAGUCCUCAUGGCCUUUAUGCCCAGGGCCACACACGUGCUACAAUGGCGUCCACAAAGCGAACCGAGAGCGCAAGCUGGUGGAAAUCGCAGAAAUGACGCCCCAGUUCAGAUAGGAGGCUGCAACUCGCCUCCUUGAAGUUGGAAUCGCUAGUAAUCGCGGAUCAGCUACGCCGCGGUGAAUGUGUUCCUGAGCCUUGCACACACCGCCCGU